rnacentral:rRNA from 1 species
CCUACGGGGGGCAGCAGUGGGGAAUAUUGCACAAUGGGGGAAACCCUGAUGCAGCGACGCCGCGUGAGUGAAGAAGUAUUUCGGUACGUAAAGCUCUAUCAGCAGGGAAGAAAAUGACGGUACCUGACUAAGAAGCCCCGGCUAACUACGUGCCAGCAGCCGCGGUAAUACGUAGGGGGCAAGCGUUAUCCGGAUUUACUGGGUGUAAAGGGAGCGUAGACGGCAGCGCAAGUCUGGAGUGAAAUCCCAUGGCUUAACCAUGGAACUGCUUUGGAAACUGUGCAGCUAGAGUGCAGGAGAGGUAAGCGGAAUUCCUAGUGUAGCGGUGAAAUGCGUAGAUAUUAGGAGGAACACCAGUGGCGAAGGCGGCUUACUGGACUGUAACUGACGUUGAGGCUCGAAAGCGUGGCGAGCAAACAGGAUUAGAUACCCCUGUAGUC